rnacentral:rRNA from 1 species
AUUGAACGCUGGCGGCAUGCCUUACACAUGCAAGUCGAACGGCAGCGGGGACUUCGGUCCGCCGGCGAGUGGCGAACGGGUGAGUAACGUAUCGGAACGUACCUUUCAGUGGGGGAUAACGUAGCGAAAGUUACGCUAAUACCGCAUACGCACUGAGGUGGAAAGCAGGGGAUCGCAAGACCUUGCGCUAUACGAGCGGCCGAUGUCAGAUUAGCUAGUUGGUAGGGUAAAGGCCUACCAAGGCGACGAUCUGUAGCGGGUCUGAGAGGAUGAUCCGCCACACUGGGACUGAGACACGGCCCAGACUCCUACGGGAGGCAGCAGUGGGGAAUUUUGGACAAUGGGCGAAAGCCUGAUCCAGCCAUGCCGCGUGAGUGAAGAAGGCCU